rnacentral:rRNA from 1 species
GACGAACGCUGGCGGCGUGCCUAAUACAUGCAAGUAGAACGCUGACUACUUUAGCUUGCUAGAGUAGAAGGAGUUGCGAACGGGUGAGUAACGCGUAGGUAACCUGCCUACUAGCGGGGGACAACUAUUGGAAACGAUAGAUAAUACCGCAUAACAGUGUUUAACACAUGUUAGAUGCUUGAAAGAUGCAAUUGCAUCACUAGUAGAUGGACCUGCGUUGUCUUAGCUAGGUGGUGGGGUAACGGCCCACCAAGGCGACGAUAGAUAGCCGACCUGAGGAGGUAAUCUGCCACACUGGGACUGAGACACGGCCCAGACUCCUACGGAAGGCAGCAGUAGGGAAUCUUCGGCAAUGGGGGCAACCCUGACCGAGCAACGCCGCGUGAGUGAAGAAGGUUUUCGGAUCGUAAAGCUCUGUUGUAAGAGAAGAACGUGUGGGAGAGUGGAAAGUUCACACAGUGACGGUAACUUACCAGAAAGGGACGGCUAACUACGUGCCAGCAGCCGCUGUAA